rnacentral:rRNA from 1 species
ACCUCGGGUGACAGGGAGACAGGUGGUGCAUGGUUGUCGUCAGCUCGUGUCGUGAGAUGUUGGGUUAAGUCCCGCAACGAGCCGCAACCCCUACGUUUAGUUGCUAACGCGUGAAGGCGAGCACUCUAGACGAACUGCCGUUGACAAACGGAGGAAGUGGGGAUGACGUCAAAUCAUCAUGCCCCUUAUGUUCUGGGCUACACACGUGCUACAAUGGCCGGUACAGACGGACGCAAAGCCGCGAGGUGGAGCAAAUCCUAAAAAGCCGGUCUCAGUUCGGAUUGCAGGCUGCAAUUCGCCUGCAUGAAGUCGGAAUCGCUAGUAAUCGCAGGUCAGCAUACUGCGGUGAAUACGUUCCCGGGCCUU